GACGAACGCUGGCGGCGUGCCUAAUACAUGCAAGUAGAACGCUGAAGAGAGGAGCUUGCUCUUCUUGGAUGAGUUGCGAACGGGUGAGUAACGCGUAGGUAACCUGCCUUGAAGCGAGGGAUAACUAUUGGAAACGAUAGCUAAUACCGCAUAACAAUGGAUGACACAUGUCAUUUAUUUGAAAGGGGCAAUUGCUCCACUACAAGAUGGACCUGCGUUGUAUUAGCUAGUAGGUGAGGUAAUGGCUCACCUAGGCGACGAUACAUAGCCGACCUGAGAGGGUGGUCGGCCACACUGGGACUGAGACACGGCCCAGACUCCUACGGGAGGCAGCAGUAGGGAAUCUUCGGCAAUGGGGGCAACCCUGACCGAGCAACGCCGCGUGAGUGAAGAAGGUUUUCGGAUCGUAAAGCUCUGUUGUAAGUCAAGAACGGGUGUGAGAGUGGAAAGUUCACACUGUGACGGUAGCUUACCAGAAAGGGACGGCUAACUACGUG
rnacentral:rRNA from 1 species